rnacentral:rRNA from 1 species
AUAAUGGGUCAGCGACUUAUAUUCUGUAGCAAGGUUAACCGAAUAGGGGAGCCGAAGGGAAACCGAGUCUUAACUGGGCGUUAAGUUGCAGGGUAUAGACCCGAAACCCGGUGAUCUAGCCAUGGGCAGGUUGAAGGUUGGGUAACACUAACUGGAGGACCGAACCGACUAAUGUUGAAAAAUUAGCGGAUGACUUGUGGCUGGGGGUGAAAGGCCAAUCAAACCGGGAGAUAGCUGGUUCUCCCCGAAAGCUAUUUAGGUAGCGCCUCGUGAAUUCAUCUCCGGGGGUAGAGCACUGUUUCGGCAAGGGGGUCAUCCCGACUUACCAACCCGAUGCAAACUGCGAAUACCGGAGAAUGUUAUCACGGGAGACACACGGCGGGUGCUAACGUCCGUCGUGAAGAGGGAAACAACCCAGACCGCCAGCUAAGGUCCCAAAGUCAUGGUUAAGUGGGAAACGAUGUGGGAAGGCCCAGACAGCCAGGAUGUUGGCUUAGAAGCAGCCAUCAUUUAAAGAAAGCGUAAUAGCUCACUGGUCGAGUCGGCCUGCGCGGAAGAUGUAACGGGGCUAAACCAUGCACCGAAGCUGCGGCAGCGACGCUGAUGCGUUGUUGGGUAGGGGAGCGUUCUGUAAGCCUGUGAAGG